rnacentral:rRNA from 1 species
UACGUAGGGGGCAAGCGUUGUCCGGAUUCAUUGGGCGUAAAGAGCGUGUAGGCGGCCAGGUAGGUCGGUUGUGAAAACUGGAGGCUCAACCUUCAGAGGUCGACCGAAACCAUCUGGCUAGAGUCCGGGAGAGGAGAGUGGAAUUCCUGGUGUAGCGGUGAAAUGCGCAGAUAUCAGGAAGAACACCCGUGGCGAAAGCGGCUCUCUGGGCCGGUACUGACGCUGAGGAGCGAAAGCGUGGGGAGCAAACAGG